rnacentral:rRNA from 1 species
UACAGAGGGUGCGAGCGUUAAUCGGAAUUACUGGGCGUAAAGCGCAUGUAGGUGGUUAAGAAAGUUUGAUGUGAAAGCCCUGGGCUUAACCUGGGAAUGGCGUUGAAAACUAAUUAACUAGAGUCGGACAGAGGGCAGUGGAAUUUCCGGUGUAGCGGUGAAAUGCGUAGAGAUCGGAAAGAACACCAGUGGCGAAGGCGGCUGCCUGGGUCCAGACUGACACUGAGGUGCGAAAGCGUGGGGAGCAAACAGG